rnacentral:rRNA from 1 species
AUUGAACGCUGGCGGCAGGCUUAACACAUGCAAGUCGAGCGGGGAAAAGUAGCUUGCUACUUAACCUAGCGGCGGACGGGUGAGUAAUGCUUAGGAAUCUGCCUAUUAGUGGGGGACAACAUCUCGAAAGGGAUGCUAAUACCGCAUACGUCCUACGGGAGAAAGCAGGGGACCUUCGGGCCUUGCGCUAAUAGAUGAGCCUAAGUCGGAUUAGCUAGUUGGUGGGGUAAAGGCCUACCAAGGCGACGAUCUGUAGCGGGCCUGAGAGGAUGAUCCGCCACACUGGGACUGAGACACGACCCAGACUCCUACGGGAGGCAGCAGUGGGGAAUAUUGGACAAUGGGGGGAACCCUGAUCCAGCCAUGCCGCGUGUGUGAAGAAGGCCUUUUGGUUGUAAAGCACUUUAAGCGAGGAGGAGGCUACCUGGAUUAAUACUCUAGGAUAGUGGACGUUACUCGCAGAAUAAGCACCGGCUAACUCUGUGCCAGCAGCCGCAGUAAAAC